CACGCCCUAAACGAUGAUCACUCGUUGUUGGCAACUAUAUCGUCAGCGACUAAGCGAAAGCAUUAAGUGAUCCACCUGGGGAGUACGAUCGCAAGGUUGAAACUCAAAGGAAUUGACGGG
rnacentral:rRNA from 1 species